UACGUAGGGAGCAAGCGUUGUCCGGAAUCAUUGGGCGUAAAGCGCGCGUAGGCGGCCUCAUAAGUCCGUUGUGAAAGUCAAAGGCUCAACCUUUGAAAGCCGAUGGAUACUGUGAGGCUAGAGUCCGGAAGAGGCGAGUGGAAUUCCUGGUGUAGCGGUGGAAUGCGCAGAUAUCGGGAAGAACACCGGUGGCGAAGGCGGUGGUCUGGGCCGGCACUGACGCUGAGGAGCGAAAGCGUGGGUAGCAAACAGG
rnacentral:rRNA from 1 species